CCUCAUUUUCUUGGCAGGCUCUGUAAUGUCCGGAGGUGCAGGAAUGCCCACCCAGUUUUCUGUCUUCAGUGCCAGCGACUUUGCCAUCUGCAGGUUCUGUCCUCAAGCACCGGGGCAAAA